UGGGGAAUAUUGGGCAAUGGGCGAAAGCCUGACCCAGCAACGCCGCGUGAGGGAAGAAAGGUUUCGGCUCGUAAACCUCUGUCCUAUGGGACGAAGGAAGUGACGGUACCAUAGGAGGAAGCCCCGGCUAACUACGUGCCAGCAGCCGCGGUAAUACGUAGGGGGCGAGCGUUGUCCGGAAUGAUUGGGCGUAAAGGGCGCGUAGGCGGCCUGUUAAGUCUGGAGUGAAAGUCCUGCUUUCAAGGUGGGAAUUGCUUUGGAUACUGAUGGGCUGGAGUGCAGGAGAGGAAAGCGGAAUUACCGGUGUAGCGGUGAAAUGCGUAGAGAUCGGUAGGAACACCAGUGGCGAAGGCGGCUUUCUGGACUGAAACUGACGCUGAGGCGCGAAAGCGUGGGGAGCAAACAGGAUUAGAUACC
rnacentral:rRNA from 1 species